UUAAUUGAAGAGUUUGAUCAUGGCUCAGAUUGAACGCUGGCGGCAGGCCUAACACAUGCAAGUCGAGCGGCAGCACAGAGGAACUUGUUCCUUGGGUGGCGAGCGGCGGACGGGUGAGUAAUGCCUGGGAAAUUGCCCGGUAGAGGGGGGAUAACCAUUGGAAACGAUGGCUAAUACCGCAUAACCUCGCAAGAGCAAAGCAGGGGACCUUCGGGCCUUGCGCUACCGGAUAUGCCCAGGUGGGAUUAGCUAGUUGGUGAGGUAAGGGCUCACCAAGGCGACGAUCCCUAGCUGGUCUGAGAGGAUGAUCAGCCACACUGGAACUGAGACACGGUCCAGACUCCUACGGGAGGCAGCAGUGGGGAAUAUUGCACAAUGGGCGCAAGCCUGAUGCAGCCAUGCCGCGUGUAUGAAGAAGGCCUUCGGGUUGUAAAGUACUUUCAG
rnacentral:rRNA from 1 species